GUGACCUCAAAUCAGGUAGGACUACCCGCUGAACUUAAGCAUAUCAAUAAGCGGAGGAAAAGAAACUAACAAGGAUUCCCCUAGUAACUGCGAGUGAAGCGGGAAAAGCUCAAAUUUAAAAUCUGGCGGUCUUUUGGCUGUCCGAGUUGUAAUCUAGAGAAGUGUUAUCCGCGCUGGACCGUGUACAAGUCUCCUGGAAUGGAGCAUCAUAGAGGGUGAGAAUCCCGUCUUUGACAUGGACUGCCAGGGCUUUUGUGAUGCG
rnacentral:rRNA from 1 species